GUCUCUUUGUCCAUGGACGGACCCAACGUCAAUUGGCGUUUUCUUGAGAUGCUGCGGACGGAGCAUGCUGAGCAUUUUGGGGGUGCCCAGUUGGUUGUAGUGGGAAGUUGUGGGCUACACACUCUACAUAAUGCUGUCAAAUGUGGAUUCACUGAGUGGCAUAUGGAGAAGUUCUUAAGAGCUCUUCAUACUAUUUUUCACAAUGUGCCAGCAAGAAGGGAGGGUUUUUGCAAUCUUACAAAGUCCAAAACCUUUGCUUUGCCUUUCUGUGGUCACCGCUGGAUCGAGAACCUCCCAGUAGUGCAGAGAGCCAUUGAGAUCUGGCCUGACAUGAAGAAAUAUGUUGAUGCUGUUACAACCAAGAAGCUCCCAAACCCUGGAACGUCUUCUUAUGACACCAUCGAGGUGGCAACCAAAGACCCUCUUAUUUUGGCAAAGCUGCAUUUUUUCAUGGCAGUUUCACGAAGUGUGACACCCUUCUUGACAAAGUAUCAAACGGAUGAACCUGUGCUUCCAUUCUUUGCCAAUGACUUGGCUGAAUUACUGAAGAAUUUGCUGAGGCGAUUCAUCAAGCGAGAGCUACUGACUGAUGUCACACCUCAGCACUUGGUACGGCUUGAUGUCACUGACAAGCAGUCGAGGGUGCAUCCAAAGGCAGUGGACAUCGGCAUUGGUGCAGAGACUGCCAUAAAGGUGAUCUGAUCACCCAGAAGUUCUCAGAGAUGCUGUCCCUGGAGGUCCGAACUGAAGAAUUUCAGUCCUUCCAGCCAUUCAAGAAAAGACUGGAUGUCUUUCUAAGCAACAUCAUCAGUGAGACCUACCCACAACUUUGGUCCUUUA